GAUGAACGCUGGCGGCGUGCUUAACACAUGCCAGUCGAACGAGAAGUGGAGACGGAAACCUUCGGGCGGAAGACUUUAUUUCGAGUGGCGGACGGGUGAGUAACGCGUGGGUAACCUGCCUCAUACAGGGGGAUAACAGUUGGAAACGACUGUUAAUACCGCAUAAGACCACAGCACCGCAUGGUGCGGGGGUAAAAACUCCGGUGGUAUGAGAUGGACCCGCGUUCGAUUAGCCAGUUGGCGGGGUAACGGCCCACCAAAGCGACGAUCGAUAGCCGAUCUGAGAGGAUGACCGGCCACAUUGGGACUGAGACACGGCCCAAACUCCUACGGGAGGCAGCAGUGGGGAAUAUUGCACAAUGGGGGAAACCCUGAUGCAGCGACGCCGCGUGAGUGAAGAAGUAUUCCGGUAUGUAAAGCUCUAUCAGCAGGGAAGAAAAUGACGGUACCUGAGUAAGAAGCCCCGGCUAACUACGUG
rnacentral:rRNA from 1 species